AUAAGAAAAUAUCAAUAAUUUAAAAAGUGUAAAAUAGCUAAUAAUUUUAGUUUUUUUUUUAGUUAUUUUCGUUUAUAAACUAUUGUUAAGGGUAAUAUUGUCUUUGCACGGUCAACUAACGGUCAAUGUUAAACUUAACUGACGGUAGGGGGUUUUUUACAAAUAAAUCAAUUCUCGCCAUCUACUUGCAACAAACCCAAACCUCAGGGGAGGUUUUUAAAAAUUACCCAUUUUUUUUCAUGGAUAUAAUAAGAAGAAUCAAUAAAUACAUACACCGUGAUCAAGUUUUGUAGAUAUCUCCAAUGUGGAGGAGGCAAUAUUUGACAAGGGGCCCACGAGAUGUUACUGGAAAAUAGUAAUCCGAGUCAAAAGAAAAUACGACUGUUUGGAUACGAAUCAUUUAUUUCUAAUAGAGCCGUAGUAUAUAUAGCUUUGAAUCAUUUUAUUUGACUCAUUCCACUGAAUGAAGGUACAAACAAAAUCAUCUUUUGGACCACUUUUGUUUAUUGGAGUCGUCAAAUCCAUUUUCUAAGUUAGCCUAGUUUGAAUGCAGGAUUGGGUGGCUUCCAAAGCAAAAGUUGUCAAACAGUAAGAUAGAACCAAGUAGUUGAAGAGAAAGCAGUAGAUGACCAUUGCUUAUCCUUGCAUAUAGAGACAUUACAUUUAUGAUCAUUUUGAAUUUAGUGAUAAAAUGUAGAUGUGGCAGUAUGCAGUUAGAUAGUAGUGUGUUAUUGUAUAUGCCUUUUUUUUUUUUUGGGUGGGGGGGGGGGGGGGGUUAUAUUAACAAGCAUGUUUUUCCUAGUGGAUAAAAGCAGUAUUUUAUCCUUUGUUGGUGAUUGACUUGAAUAAUGGUAGAAUAAUGACUUCAAUUUAGAGGUUACUGAACUAUAUCGCAAGUUAGGAUUUUGGUAAUGUAAAAUUUGAAGUUUAGGUUGAAAAUUAUAAUUAUAAAAGAAAAAAUUGCAUUAAAAAUGAAAUAAAAAAUAUCCUUGCAAUUUUAAUAUUCUCCGAAAAGUUCUGUAGCUUCAAACGAAAUUUCUACACUAAUUGGGUUGUCAAAGCUUCAAAAUGUUGGGGGUUGUGUUGAAAACAUUUAACCUUUUACCUUACUUUUUCAAAAUUUUCAAACUAGCACGAGAGUUAUUUCGCCUCACGUGAAUAUUGAUUGUCAUAAAUUUAUCUUGUAAAUAGAAAAAAAAAAAUGUCAAGAGCAUCAAUGCUUUAUUGGCGAGAACCUCUAACGAUCAUGUUAUAUAUCGCAGGGCCUUCAAUUUAAUUGUCAACAAUAAGGCGAAAAUAGCAUAAUUAAGUUUUUUCAAUUCAAAUUUUGACACUUCUCCCAACAAAAAAAAAAAAAAUCAAAUAUGACGACAUAUGCUUGAAAAAAUGAAGAUGGAUCCCGCCCAAAUAAUUAAGUUGCAUCGUUAAGCCCACAUAAUUAAGUUGCAUCAUCUAUCCCUGGGCUUAUAUGUGUCAAAUUUAUGAGUGCAUAAUAGACUUGUAAAAGACUUGCAGGCCUCGAAAGUUUGGGCAUAGUUUAAGAGUAGAGCUUUUAACACCCUUCUAAAAUCCUUAUAACCCCCUUUGGAAUGUCAUUUCUUAAAACACCCACAAUUUAAUUGAUAAGAUAUAAUUUUA
rnacentral:lncRNA from 1 species